rnacentral:sRNA from 1 species
UCUGCCUGGAUGCUGAAGAUGCUUUCCAUUCUUUGCUCGAAGCUGGGCAGCUCUGAGCUGCUGGUGCCUUCAAGCUGUUUGCCUGAGUGGCAGGUCAUAUCCUGCAGGGCCACACCGUUGGGUCAGAGGCCACAGCUUCUGAAGAUCUGUUGCCUCACAGUGAGCACUAUGUGCCUGUCACCUGAGCAUGGCAGCUGCUGCUCUAAUAACUAGGCACUGAAUCAGUUUCCCCAAAGCAGUGGUAGCUAAGAAAAUUUUUCUUUCGGAAGAGUUUCAGCUGUGGCAGGGGAGUCCUGUGCCCUUCCCAACGCCCCUGUUUUUGUCACCUUCCUAGGCUUGGAGAACACCCUGCCUGAGCGUCCCCGGGAAAAAGAAGAACCAGUGGUUCGAGAGACAGGUGAGGUGGUCGACUGCCACCUCAGUGACAUGCUGCAGCAGCUGCACAGUGUCAAUGCCUCCAAGCCCUCGGAGCGUGGGCUGGUCAGGCAAGAGGAGGCUGAGGAUCCUGCCUGCAUCCCCAUCUUCUGGGUCAGCAAGUGGGUGGACUAUUCAGAC